rnacentral:rRNA from 1 species
GACGAACCGUGCGAACGUUGUUCGGAUUCACUGGGCUUAAAGGGCGCGUAGGCGGGCGGUCAAGUCAGGGGUGAAAUCUUUCGGCUCAACCGGAAAAGUGCCUUUGAUACUGGCCGUCUCGAGGGAGGUAGGGGCAUGCGGAACUUCCGGUGGAGCGGUGAAAUGCGUUGAUAUCGGAAGGAACGCCGGUGGCGAAAGCGGCGUGCUGGCCCUCUUCUGACGCUGAGGCGCGAAAGCCAGGGGAGCGAACGGG